UACGUAGGGGAGCAAGCGUUUGUCCGGAAUCAUUGGGCGUAAAAGCGCGCGUAGGUGGCUUCGUAAGUCCGUUGUGAAAGUCAAAGGCUCAACCUUUGAAAGCCGAUGGAUACUGCGGAGCUAGAGUACGGAAGAGGCGAGUGGAAUUCCUGGUGUAGCGGUGGAAUGCGCAGAUAUCAGGAGGAACACCAAUAGCGAAGGCAGCUCGCUGGGACGUUACUGACACUGAGGCGCGAAAGCGUGGGGAGCGAACAGG
rnacentral:rRNA from 1 species